rnacentral:rRNA from 1 species
GACGUAGGGCGCGAGCGUUGUCCGGAUUUAUUGGGCGUAAAGAGCUCGUAGGCGGUCUGUCGCGUCGGCUGUGAAAACCCGGGGCUCAACCCCGGGCCUGCAGUCGAUACGGGCAGACUAGAGUGUGGUAGGGGAGACUGGAAUUCCUGGUGUAGCGGUGAAAUGCGCAGAUAUCAGGAGGAACACCGGUGGCGAAGGCGGGUCUCUGGGCCAUAACUGACGUGGAGAAGCGAAAGCAUGGGGAGCGAACAGG